AGUGAACGCUGGCGGUAGGCCUAACACAUGCAAGUCGAACGGCAGCACAGUAAGAGCUUGCUCUUACGGGUGGCGAGUGGCGUACGGGUGAGGAAUACAUCGGAAUCUACUUUUUCGUGGGGGAAAACGUAGGGAAACUUACGCUAAUACCGCAUACGACCUACGGGUGAAAGCAGUGGAACUUCGGACCUUGCGCGAUUGAAUGAGCCGAUGUCGGAUUAGCUAGUUGGCGGGGUAAAGGCCCACCAAGGCGACGAUCCGUAGCUGGUCUGAGAGGAUGACCGGCCACACUGGAACUGAGACACGGGCCAGACUCCUACGGGAGGCAGGAGUGGGGAAUAUUGGACAAUGGGCGCAAGCCUUAUCCAGCCAUGCCGCGUGGGUGAAGAAGGCCUUCGGGUUGUAAAGCCCUUUUGUUGGGAAAGAAAAGCAGCAGGUUAAUACCCCGAUGUUCUGACGGUGCCCAAAGAAUAAGCACCGGCUAACUUCGUG
rnacentral:rRNA from 1 species